CCUACGGGGUGCACCAGUGAGGAAUAUUGGUCAAUGGUCGCAAGACUGAACCAGCCAUGCCGCGUGCAGGAUGACGGUCCUAUGGAUUGUAAACUGCUUUUGUACGGGAAGAAACACUCCUACGUGUAGGGGCUUGACGGUACCGUAAGAAUAAGGAUCGGCUAACUCCGUGCCAGCAGCCGCGGUAAUACGGAGGAUCCGAGCGUUAUCCGGAAUCAUUGGGUUUAAAGGGUCCGUAGGCGGCCCUGUAAGUCUGCGGUGAAAUCUCCCGGCUCAACCGGGAAACUGCCGUUGAUACUGCAGGGCUUGAAUUGCCGGGAAGUAACUAGAAUAUGUAGUGUAGCGGUGAAACGCUUAGAUAUUACAUGGAAUACCGAUUGCGAAGGCAGGCUACUACCGGCGUAUUGACGCUGAUGGACGAAAGCGUGGGGAGCGAACAGGAUUAGAUACCCCUGUAGUC
rnacentral:rRNA from 1 species